UUGGAGGGCAAGUCUGGUGCCAGCAGCCGCGGUAAUUCCAGCUCCAAUAGCGUAUAUUAAAGUUGUCGCAGUUAAAAAGCUCGUAGUUGAAUUUCGGGAUCAAUAUUUCGGUCAUGCCGUUGGUAUGCACUGUUAUCAUUGACUUCUCACCUUCUAAAGAACCGUAAUGCCAUUAAUUUGGUGUUACGGGGAAUUAGGACUGUUACCUUGAAAAAAUUAGAGUGUUUAAAGCAGGCUCACGCUUGAAUACAUUAGCAUGGAAUAAUGAAAUAGGACAUCCGAUUCUAUUUUGUUGGUUUCUAGGAUCGAUGUAAUGAUUAAUAGGGAUAGUUGGGGGCACUAGUAUUCAAUUGUCAGAGGUGAAAUUCUUGGAUUUAUUGAAGACUAACUACUGCGAAAGCAUUUGCCAAGGAUGUUUUCAUUAAUCAAGAACGAAAGUUAGGGGAUCGAAGACGAUCAGAUACCGUCGUAGUCUUAACCAUAAACUAUGCCGACUAGGGAUCGGAUGAUGUUAAUUUUUUAAUGACUCAUUCGGCGCCUUACGGGAAACCAAAGUGUUUGGGUUC
rnacentral:rRNA from 1 species